rnacentral:rRNA from 1 species
GACGAACGCUGGCGGCGUGCUUAACACAUGCAAGUCGAACGAUGAAGCCCAGCUUGCUGGGUGGAAGAGUGGCGAACGGGUGAGUAACACGUGAGUAACCUGCCCUGAACUCUGGGAUAAGCACUGGAAACGGUGUCUAAUACUGGAUACGACCUAUCACCGCAUGGUGUGUGGGUGGAAAGAUUUAUCGGUUCUGGAUGGACUCGCGGCCUAUCAGCUAGAUGGUGAGGUAAUGGCUCACCAUGGCGACGACGGGUAGCCGGCCUGAGAGGGUGACCGGCCACACUGGGACUGAGACACGGCCCAGACUCCUACGGGAGGCAGCAGUGGGGAAUAUUGCACAAUGGGCGCAAGCCUGAUGCAGCAACGCCGCGUGAGGGAUGACGGCCUUCGGGUUGUAAACCUCUUUUAGUAGGGAAGAAGCGAAAGUGACGGUACCUGCAGAAAAAGCACCGGCUAACUACGG